GACGAACGCUGGCGGCGUGCUUAACACAUGCAAGUCGAGCGGUAAGGCCCUUUCGGGGGUACACGAGCGGCGAACGGGUGAGUAACACGUGGGUGACCUGCCCUCAGCUCUGGGAUAAGCCUGGGAAACCGGGUCUAAUACCGGNUAUGACUCCAUGACGCAUGUUGUGGGGUGGAAAGCCUUGUGCGGCUGAGGAUGGGCCCGCGGCCUAUCAGCUUGUUGGUGGGGUGAUGGCCUACCAAGGCGACGACGGUAGCCGGCCUGAGAGGGCGACCGGCCGACACUGGGGCU
rnacentral:rRNA from 1 species